AAUUUGGAUUAUGCCAUGAUAUAUGCUUAUCUUCUAAUCCAAAUAAAGAAUUUAAAUGUGUGUGUGUGAGCAUGUGUGUGUGUGUGUGU